AUUGAACGCUGGCGGCAUGCCUUACACAUGCAAGUCGAACGGCAGCACGGGGCAACCUGGUGGCGAGUGGCGAACGGGUGAGUAAUGCAUCGGAACGUACCUUUCAGUGGGGGAUAACGUAGCGAAAGUUACGCUAAUACCGCAUAUUCUGUGAGCAGGAAAGCAGGGGAUCGCAAGACCUUGCGCUGAUUGAGCGGCCGAUGUCAGAUUAGCUAGUUGGUGAGGUAAAGGCUUACCAAGGCGACGGUCUGUAGCGGGUCUGAGAGGAUGAUCCGCCACACUGGAACUGAGACACGGUCCAGACUACUACGGGAGGCAGCAGUGGGGAAUUUUGGACAAUGGGGGCAACCCUGAUCCAGCCAUGCCGCGUGAGUGAAGAAGGCCUUCGGGUUGUAAAGCUCUUUCGGCCGGGAAGAAAUCGCACGGGCUAAUACCCUGUGUGGAUGACGGUACCGGAAUAAGAAGCACCGGCUAACUACGUGCCAGCCGCCGCCGUAAGAC
rnacentral:rRNA from 1 species